UACGUAGGGGGCAAGCGUUGUCCGGAAUCAUUGGGCGUAAAGAGCGUGUAGGCGGCCAGAUAAGUCCGCUGUGAAAUCUCGAGGCUCAACUUCGAGCUGUCGGUGGAAACUGUCUGGCUAGAGUCCGGAAGAGGAGAAUGGAAUUCCUGGUGUAGCGGUGAAAUGCGCAGAUAUCAGGAAGAACACCCGUGGCGAAGGCGACUUCCUGGCCUGUUCUUGACGCUGAGGCGCGAAAGCUAGGGUAGCAAACGGG
rnacentral:rRNA from 1 species